rnacentral:lncRNA from 10 species
AGAAAGAUGUUUUGUUAAAAAUGAAAUUUAUUUUUCACAGCUCUAAUGAUUUACUGAGAAUUGUGACAAAGUAGUGAUAUGUUGCCAUUUUAUUUCAGAGAAAUUCUGACCUAAGCCUGAAGGAAAUUGCUUUCUAACAAAAUAAAAUACAUUUAUUGAAUCUUAGGAGAUAAGGUUCACACUUUUAUAUGUGGCUUAAUCCCCACCUGGGGCAUACAGGACAGUAAGACCUUUAGAUUUUACCUUUUUGUUAACUAAGCGUGGUCUCAGGCUUUGCCAUAUUUUGUUUAAUUGGAAAGUUUAACAUUAGAAGACAUGGGGCAAAAUAAUAACAAAGCAACAACAAAUGACAAACACAUUUCGCCCUAAUCGAUUAUACUGAGUCCACACUAUUGACUACCUCAACUUUGAAGUAGUUGAAAAGAAAUACAGGAAAAAUAGGAAAUGCUGAAUGCCCACCAUAUAUCUAGAAUUGUUACCACCAUUCUACAAAUGAAGAACUAGUACUCAUUUAAGUGUUUUUUUUUUUUUUUUCAAAGCUCACACAGCUAAUAGAUGCAUAAGCUGGAAUUCAAACAUAGCACAUAUGACUUUUUUUCAACUUUUAUUUUAGAUUCACGAGGUACACGUGCUGGUUUGUUACAUGGGUGUAUUGCAUGAUGCCGAGGUUUGAAGUACGAAUGAUCUAUCAUCCUGGUACUGAGCAUAGUACCCUGCAGUUAGUUUUUCUGCCUUUCCCUCCUUCCGCCUCUUCCCUUUAGUAGUCCCCACUGUCUAUUGUUGCCAACUUUAUGUCCACGAGUACCCAGUGUUUAGCUCCCG